rnacentral:rRNA from 1 species
CUAAGUUUGAUGGCGACCGGCGCACGGGUGGGUAACACGUAUCCAACCUGCCGAUGACUCGGGGAUAGCCUUUCGAAAGAAAGAUUAAUACCCGAUGGCAUAGUUCUUCCGCAUGGUAGAACUAUUAAAGAAUUUCGGUCAUCGAUGGGGAUGCGUUCCAUUAGGUUGUUGGCGGGGUAACGGCCCACCAAGCCUUCGAUGGAUAGGGGUUCUGAGAGGAGGGUCCCCCACAUUGGAACUGAGACACGGUCCAA